rnacentral:sRNA from 1 species
CCGAGCAGUUGCAUACACAGUGGAACUGUCUCUUACGCAUAACGACGAACAAAGACAUGUGCUCUACGGGAAAAUGGUCCGAUCUCCGACAGAUAGCCUAUGUUAUCUCUCAUUGGUGGUUCCUACAUGCUUACCGCAGUCCACUCAGCAGACACCACACACACAUCGGCGGCGGCAGCUUGAUCCAAAGUAAACUGGGAGGUUAUGUCAGAUCUGCAAGAAGCCGCUGGUUCACCACGGGAAGUUCUUUAGCAAGUGUCUCUCUAUGAAGUCCCACAAGCCAAGAAGGCUGAAGACGCAUUCCCAGCUCAUUAAGUAGAGCACUUGGCUAGCGUGUGCAAAGGCCUGGGUAUGGUUCCCAGCACCAUACAAACCAGCCAUGGUGGGGCACUCCUGUCAUCCAGCAUCAAGAGACGGAGGUGAGAGCAUCAGCCCAGAAGUCCGAAGUGAAUAUGGGCUCCGCCUUCGGUCCACCAUUGCCUGCUCCCAGGUUGACAUUCCCAUCAGUUUCUCUGGGACUAAGAGGAACCCUGUGGCAGAAAUGGCAGGUGCCUACCGGAAAGUACUUCCUGCGCAUCUGGGGCCAACGGGUGCCAAGUCCGCUGUGAGUUCUUAGCGGGGCCUGCCAUGAAUCCUAGGGGACAGCCAGGUGUGACAGGAGCAGUCUACCUUACGUAAGCGCAAAGUGUCGGAGUCGAAUGAAGAGGACAGAGGGGGCCAGAAAGUGGGGGUCCUCCUUUAUCUGCUUCUGUUCCUCUCAUCCCUGGGCCCUGCAUACAUCUGCCUUUUGCCUCCUCUCCCUCCCCAACCUGGAAUCUAUUUUCUGCUCUAUAUGUAUACUUUGCCCCACCUCCACCCCCACAUCAUCACGCCCACCCCUCUUGGCCCUUUAUCUCUCCUCCCCAAGGCGCCCAUGACACGAAAGCAAAGUUUCUUGCUUAAUAUUUGUUUACUUGGGAACAGUGAGUUUUAUGUACACUGAUCUUAAUUAAAUUCCCAGCAAGUUUCUAUUUGUGGAUAGAGAGGCAUUCUGCCCAAGAAGGGGGCCUUUAAAAUCUUGGCAUCUUAUUACCGUUACACCCAGCACUUGGAAGCAACACCCGGGAUUCAGCCUUUCAUUCGGGGCCCAUGAAACGAGCUGCGUUCUCAGCAGUACAGGUUAUUGGCAAUUUCACUCUGGGAGGGAUGUGGCUUUCCUUUCAGACAUCCUAGCAUGGCGCUUCAAAAGCCGUGGUGGCUCGCUCCUCCAUCUGUGUGGGCGCCUGAUAGAUAAACGCUCCCACAACGUGCCAGCUGGGGUAUCAACCCGAGAACGCUUGAUUUCUACCCAAGCCGCAAUCUAGAGUCCUCGCCCUUCCUGUCAUUUACCUGAGAUCCCACUAAGUGACUGCACUCAGAAAGGAGACUUCCUCGGCCUCCUAGUGUCUCCUCUUCCAACUCGUUCUUGACGUAGUUUUCUUUGAGGCAUCCUCCAAGGUCACCUCCCCCAAAGACCCCCACACUGGCUGCCUUGAGCUGGUGCUUUAUCAUUCCCUGAACUUUGGGACCCCUGCUUACAAGUCACGCAAUAUUCUUGCAACUCAUUUGUUGAAAAAAAACUUCAUCACUUGUCCUGAU